UGGGGAAUAUUGCACAAUGGGCGCAAGCCUGAUGCAGCCAUGCCGCGUGUGUGAAGAAGGCCUUCGGGUUGUAAAGCACUUUCAGCGAGGAGGAAGGUGGUGAGCUUAAUACGCUCAUCAAUUGACGUUACUCGCAGAAGAAGCACCGGCUAACUCCGUGCCAGCAGCCGCGGUAAUACGGAGGGUGCAAGCGUUAAUCGGAAUUACUGGGCGUAAAGCGCACGCAGGCGGUUUGUUAAGUCAGAUGUGAAAUCCCCGGGCUCAACCUGGGAACUGCAUUUGAAAACUGGCAAGCUAGAGUCUCGUAGAGGGGGGUAGAAUUCCAGGUGUAGCGGUGAAAUGCGUAGAGAUCUGGAGGAAUACCGGUGGCGAAGGCGGCCCCCUGGACGAAGACUGACGCUCAGGUGCGAAAAGCGUGGGGAGCAAAACAGGAUUAGAUACCCUGGUAGUCCACGCUGUAAAACGAUGUCGAUUUUGGAGGUUGUGCCCUUGAGGCGUGGCUUCCGGAGCUAACGCGUUAAAUCGACCGCCUGGGGAGUACGGCCGCAAGGUUAAAACUU
rnacentral:rRNA from 1 species